rfam:Homo sapiens chromosome 1, GRCh38 reference primary assembly.
GCCGGGUGUGGUGGCACACACCUGUAGUCCCAGCUGCUUGGGGGGCUGAGGCAGGAGGAUCACUUGAACCCAGGAGGUUGAAUCUGCAGUGAGCUGAGAUAGUGCCACCACACUGCAGCCUGGGUGAUAAGGUGAGACCCUGUCUCAA